rnacentral:pre_miRNA from 1 species
GAUGUACUCCCUCUGUCCAACAAAAGAUGUCUCAAGUUUGUUAAAAUUUGGAUGUAUCUAGACAUGACUUAGUGUAUAGAUGCAUUCAAAUUUGGUCAAAGUUGAGACAUCCUUUGUUGGAUGGAGGGAGUAGAAG